ACUAGGGCUGUAUAGCAGUAUUACAAAAGGAAAACUGUUUCCUCAGUUACAGUAAGCUGUAGCGCAUCCUCUGACUCUUCUCUCUCUGAAUGUGCACAGAGAAACAUCUGCACAGUCUUUGCUCAGCAGAGAGGCUCCUCUGAAGGUGCCCCCGGAUGUUCUCACACUUACGCCGGUUAAUGUUAGCUGGGAGCCCUACCUUAACUGCUUAUUCUUUGAAAUAUGCUCAUGCUCUGUUGAGAGCUAAAGUGCCUGAGGAAAACUUCAGGAAGGAGUAAUUAGAAUCAUAGAAGCUUCCUUGAAGCAAAGCAGCUUGUGAGGACAGCAGCUCCUUUUUACAGGGGGUUACGUAGCCCAAGCUCAUCCUUGCAAGUGAGAUAGUUGGGCUGCCUGGUGCUGGAGGUGGCAUUGGGCAUAACCCAGUUUAUUUUGGCUGCUAUAUGGAUUGGCUUUUUGUGAAUGACUAUCGCCAUAUGCUGUCAAUAUCAAAGGUUCCUCUUUCCACCUCUCUUUGGACAGUGAUUGCUUCUCCUCCAUUUCUCCUGCUGUGUGCCAUCUGUCCACACUUGUGCAAUAAGAUCAAUAUCCUGUCAGACUUCAUCAUGUGUUCUCUUUGGUAUCUCAUUGUGUAAAUCUGCAUAGCUGUAAAUCAGAUUUAUUUUUUUAAUUUUAAAAAGAAAAAAAAAAAAAAGAAUUCCUCAUCACAGCAAAGAUGUUACUGUGUCAAUCCAGCACAGUCAAUAAGGGAUCUCUGGUAUGCUUGUAUCUGGACAGAAAAAUUAAAGUUUUAGAAGUUAAUGCCACCAGGACAGUUGAGGAAAACAGCUGCAACAUCGGACCUGGAUACCAGAAGUCUCCCAAAUCAUUUACCCAUCUUCCUCUUGACGUGGCACCUAAUUGCUCCAGUUCUUCCCUUCGGCUGGUUCAUCAUUCCCCUCUGCUGCUUCCAAAAACUGUAAAGGUCAAUAGGAUUUUUCCUUCUCUGCUUUCACUUCAUGCUAACUAUCUCAGAGGUAUAAAAUAAAAACCAAGAAUAGAGAACAAGUAAAUACCUAGAAUAGGUUGAGUAUCCAAUAGGAGAUAAAAUUGCUAAUAAUUGCUAGUAAAUUGAUGGUAAUUGCUAAAAUUCAUAGCAAUUUGUUUGCUUUCAUGCAAACAAAUUACUAAAAUAUGUUGCUGUGACUUACGUGUCCUAUUUCAUCUCACUCACUAAACAGUUAUUGCUCCACACUUUAAAAUUGUUUAUAUACAAUCCUGUAACAAUCUUGCUGUAUGACAAACUCACAUUAACAUCUCUAACUUGGUGUUUGGAGCAUUUGCACUCACAGAAGGUCUGUCCAGAAGGCCUCAAAGAUCAACGAGAAUUUUUUCCAUUACUUUCAAUAUGCUUGCUGUGAAUCCCAAAGUGAAAAGUAGCUUGCAGGAAGCCUGGAUACUGAGCAGGCUGGUACACACGAGUAGGACGUGCCAGACUGCAAAACUCUGGGAAAUGUUUUUGCUUCCCAGACAGACUGCUGAGUCUAUGUGAGGCCUGUGGUCUCUUGUGCAGUUGGGACUAUCAAGCAUUUAACAACAGUGACAUCGAAGGCCUGACCUCCACUCUAGCACGUUGGCUGUUACAAUAUCUCUACUGCUUCACCCCAAAUGAGUGAAUUUUAAAUUAUUUAAAAAAUAUAUAUAAUGGCUCUUUUAUGCACUUCAGUAAGCAUUUUUUUUUCCUUUUAAAUUCAUAACAUAUGCUGUGCCUUGUAUUUUUUUCUCCUCCACUGCCCUCUCUCCUCUCCAUUCUCUAAGGGAAGGGAAAUUUUAACAUUUUUUCCUCUGCUGUGCAUGAGAACACCAUUCUGAGUCAUGCUGUCAGUCAAAGCUCAUCACUCCACGGUCAGGCAUAUCAGUCUAAUCCUGCCACAGAGUUCUGACUUUCUCAAAAUCUGAGAACUAAGGUCGUCAGCCAGCAAACAGCAUCAAAUUCCUCAUGCAACAUGUUGAAUGAUGAAAUGCAUAUAUUUUGCCUCUUUUUCUGGCUUCUAAGUUCUCAGCAGUUCAUAUGCUUCUGUGAUGGAAAUCUCAAAAACGUCCAUUAAUUAUUAUACAUGUAAGUCCUGGUCAGAGAAACUUAGCUGGAAUCAUAUUCCUCUGCAAUAUGCGGUUCUGUCAACACAGUGCAAAGUCAGUUCUAAUUUUGUCAGAAUAAGUUUUCAGUCAAAAAACAUGGAAUAUAGUUCUGACAAUGUUAAGGCACCAUAUUUUUUUUCAGUUUGUUUCAAAAUGUUUUGCUUAUAAUACCAAAUUAAAAAUAAUAAUAAUAAUUCACUUUUUUGGUGAAUUCACAAAGUUUUCAGUGAGUGAAUUUUAGAACAGUCAAGGUUGUUUUUUUUUUUUGUUUUGUUUUUUAAUUUAAAAUUAUUUUAUAAGAUUUAAAAUUAUUUUGUAAGGUGAAAUGUCAACAUGGUAUCUAGGAAACCUCCGUAUAAUGCUAAACACAGUAGACACUAACAUGUAUCUCAAUAAAAUACUUUGUUCUAGCA
rnacentral:lncRNA from 1 species